UAGGGAAUCUUCGGCAAUGGACGAAAGUCUGACCGAGCAACGCCGCGUGAGUGAAGAAGGUUUUCGGAUCGUAAAACUCUGUUGUUAGAGAAGAACAAGGACGUUAGUAACUGAACGUCCCCUGACGGUAUCUAACCAGAAAGCCACGGCUAACUACGUGCCAGCAGCCGCGGUAAUACGUAGGUGGCAAGCGUUGUCCGGAUUUAUUGGGCGUAAAGCGAGCGCAGGCGGUUUCUUAAGUCUGAUGUGAAAGCCCCCGGCUCAACCGGGGAGGGUCAUUGGAAGCUGGGAGCCUUGCGUGCAGAAGAGGAGAGUGGAAUUCCAUGUGUAGCGGUGAAAUGCGUAGAUAUAUGGAGGAACACCAGUGGCGAAGGCGGCUCUCUGGUCUGUAACUGACGCUGAGGCUCGAAAGCGUGGGGAGCAAACAGG
rnacentral:rRNA from 1 species